GACCCCGUAGCUCAGCUGGUAGAGCAAGCGACUUUUAAUCGAGAGGUCGCGGGUUCGAAUCCCGCCGGGGUCACCA
rnacentral:tRNA from 1 species